UACGGAAGGCAGCAGUGGGGAAUAUUGCACAAUGGGCGCAAGCCUGAUGCAGCCAUGCCGCGUGUAUGAAAAAGGCCUUCGGGUUGUAAAGUACUUUCAGUCGUGAGGAAGGUGUUAAGGUUAAUAACCUUAGCAAUUGACGUUAGCGACAGAAGAAGCACCGGCUAACUCCGUGCCAGCAGCCGCGGUAAUACGGAGGGUGCGAGCGUUAAUCGGAAUUACUGGGCGUAAAGGGCACGCAGGCGGUUAAUUAAGUUGGAUGUGAAAUCCCCGGGCUUAACCUGGGAAUGGCAUUCAAGACUGGUUAGCUAGAGUCUUGUAGAGGGGGGUAGAAUUCCAUGUGUAGCGGUGAAAUGCGUAGAGAUGUGGAGGAAUACCGGUGGCGAAGGCGGCCCCUGGGACAAAGACUGACGCUCAUGUGCGAAAGCGUGGGGAGCAAACAGGGAUUAGAUACC
rnacentral:rRNA from 1 species